GGGGGUGUAGCUCAGUAGAGAAGAGCGCCUGUCUGUCGAACAGAAAGUCGCGGGUUCAAGUCCCGUCAUCCCCG
rnacentral:tRNA from 1 species